rnacentral:rRNA from 1 species
AUUGAACGCUGGCGGCAGGCCUAACACAUGCAAGUCGAGCGGAGCGGCGGACGGGUGAGUAAUGCCUAGGAAUCUGCCUGGUAGUGGGGGAUAACGUCCGGAAAUGGGCGCUAAUACCGCAUCCUCUCAGAUGCGCCUGGGGGGGAUUAGCUAGUUGGGGGGGUAAGGGCCUACCAAGGCGACGAUCCGUAACUGGUCUGAGAGGAUGAUCAGUCACACUGUAACUGAGACACGGUCCAGACUCCUACGGGAGGCAGCAGUGGGGAAUAUUGGACAAUGGGCGAAAGCCUGAUCCAGCCAUGCCGCGUGUGUGAAGAAGGUCUUCGGAUUGUAAAGCACUUUAAGUUGGGAGGCAUUACCAACAGAAUAAGCACCGGCUAACUUCGUGCCAGCAGCCGCGGUAAUUC